GUGGGGAAUAUUGGGCAAUGGGCGCAAGCCUGACCCAGCAACGCCGCGUGAAGGAAGAAGGCUUUCGGGUUGUAAACUUCUUUUACCAGGGACGAAACAAAUGACGGUACCUGGUGAAUAAGCCACGGCUAACUACGUGCCAGCAGCCGCGGUAAUACGUAGGUGGCGAGCGUUAUCCGGAUUUAUUGGGUGUAAAGGGCGUGUAGGCGGGACAGCAAGUCAGAUGUGAAAACCAGAGGCUCAACCUCUGGCCUGCAUUUGAAACUGUGGUUCUUGAGUGUCGGAGAGGUAAUCGGAAUUCCGUGUGUAGCGGUGAAAUGCGUAGAUAUACGGAGGAAAACCAGUGGCGAAGGCGGAUUACUGGACGAUAACUGACGCUGAGGCGCGAAAGCGUGGGGAGCAAACAGGAUUAGAUACCCCUGUAGUCC
rnacentral:rRNA from 1 species